UAAUACCAGCACCCCGAGUGGUCGGGACGUUUAUUGGGCCUAAAGCAUCCGUAGCCGGUUCUGCAAGUCUUCCGUUAAAUCCACCUGCUUAACAGAUGGGCCGCGGAAGAUACUAUAGAGCUAGGAGGCGGGAGAGGCAAGCGGUACUCGAUGGGUAGGGGUAAAAUCCGUUGAUCCAUUGAAGACCACCAGUGGCGAAGGCGGCUUGCCAGAACGCGCUCGACGGUGAGGGAUGAAAGCUGGGGGAGCAAACCGGA
rnacentral:rRNA from 1 species